UAGACCGCUCGGCUACCAUGACCGGCGGAAACCUCUGUAUAACUUGUAUAAAUGUUACUUAGUAUAGAGCACUGACAAAUGUUGUACAAAGUCCAUAGUGACCUGAAUGCCGUGACAGCACAGAUAUACUCGUGCUGAAACUACAUUGCAACAAACGCGAAGCCUACACAGAAAGAUAGUUCACUCCUUCCUUGAUGAGAUCUCUCGAGACCUGAAAGCAAGAUUGACUGAGCUGGCGAUGGCCAGAAGCAAAACAACAGACCGACCAACUCAUGCCAUGCAAAGCCGAUGUUUUGAAAAUGGCUUGGCAGUUGGUUAUUAGGUCAUGUGUCCCGUGGGACUUGGAACCAAGAAUCACUGUGAUGGCAAGGACCAGCAGCAAUUUAGCAGUGUCAAGGCAGGCAGUUGCAGUAAUGAGUUGAGAGUCAACAGUUCAGUUCAGUUAGUUGUGAGACACUCGCCAGCCGAUAAGAACGUAAGCAACAAGCACUGUUGUCAACCGUUACCAGGCAACGGCUAGCGAAGACACAGGAGACUUGGCGUGUUCUUUGUUGAGAAGCAGAGGGCGCGAAUUAAUGAAAGGGUUAUAAUUACUUGUAGUUACAAUUUACGAGAGCCCAAUAUAACAAAUUAUGAUGCCAAACUCCGUUUCUAGUCGCUAACACGUGACAAUACAUACAGUAAUGAAAAGAAACCUAAGUUAAUAUGUUGAGUUUACUAACAAACAGAAGUGAUAAGUGCGUUUUGAAUCUCAAAAGGAAGGAGGAUAUUUAUGCAUAUUUGGAUAUGCUAGGAAAUUAUGCCUUUAAUAUCUUGAGAAAUUAGCCAACAUUACUUUCCAGCAACACUGUAUGCGCCCCAUAUUUAUGUGAGGUUCUACUUUCUCACUUAUCUGCCACCGAAUAAGUGAUGGUUCGGGAAGACCGAUAUCUUGACCUUCCCGUUCACCGGAUAUCACUCCAGUUUCUAUAAUUCUAAAUUUAUGAAACGUGUCCUAGCUUGCAUCGCUGCAACCAUUAGAAAGGAACAACAUGAAGGCUACAUUUGCAGUUGCCCAGAGUACAUUCCAAUGGAUGAAACAAGUAGUGAAUUAAGGGUCAGACCUAUGUCGAGCUACAGAAGGACAUCUCGUCCAUCUUACCUUAUUGAAGAGAUAUCGGCAUAUGAAAGAGUGGCAACAGUGUGUUGCAACGUAUAUCUACUUAAGCAUUCUGUUGUUAUAAAUCAAAAUGAUAUUUUAUUUCCGUCCUCAGAACAUCAUUAUAAUACUACACCAAGAAAGGAUAAAAUUGAAGAGCAUAUGAGCCUUCGAAAGCCUGUAUAAAAUUGUUUUAGUAUCUCUGGCAUAACAAUUUAAAUUUACUGGUUGUCCGACUUGGAUGUUUUGGAAGCAAUGUCUGCGUUGUAUUUUCUCACAAAGCCCAUUUAUGGGUUCAUUAUUAUUAUCAUAAUGAGCAUUCAUUUUUCCCCCUGUUCAGAAUUAAGCGAUUAAAGUUAUAGCCAAUAUUUGGUGUGCAUUUUUGAGUAGAAACUCAAUUUCUAUAUUUUAUUAAGAUAAAUUUUAAGCCUCAAAAUUCAGUUCACGUGUUCUGGGAAGGCGCAGGAUAUAUUGGACAGGAAGUUACCUACAAUGAAAUUAAGCAAAGAGUACAGUAUAUUAAUUGUAAGAACUUAAAUUGUUAACAAAAUGAAAGUGUCCUGAUUUCGCUGCCACGGGGAAUGUACGAUGGAAAGUCAGUAAAUAUGUCACAAAUGGAAGUAAAGCAGCUGUAAUGGAUGUAAUGGGUUUCAUAUGUGUAUCACUAGGUAGCAGCAGAAUCAAGAUUCAUGACAGUCUUGGUAGCAGACGCGCACGUGCAUGUUUAGAGGAUUGUUUAAGUAGCCAAAAUGGCGACCGAGCUUGAGCAGUAUAUUACCGAAGAGCAGAGUUCUGUUGUGAAUUUUUGUGGGAAAAAGAACUCAAUGCAAAAGAGAUUGAUAAAUACAUUAUUCCUGUUUACGGUGAGAAGUUUUUGUCGCGUAAAGUGGUUCACAGCUGGGUGGCGUAAGUUUCCCUGAUGACGAAGAAGGUGAAACGGAGGUGCGGAAGUGGCUGAGACUAUGUUGCGGGUCUCGAC